UGAGGUAACCGAGAGGGGGUGGGCGGCACUCUCAGCGGGGAGCGGGAGUGGCCAUACUGUACGAUAGUACUCUUUCUUAUACUGUGGUUAAGGGUGUUGCUGUUAGCACAGGGAAGAAUGAUAUCGGUGUAAAUAAUACGACUAAUUACGAUAGGUAGUUUAAUAUGAACAUAAUAUACAAUGCUGAUGUUUAUUUAUAAAAGCAGGUAAAAACCGACGACACAUACAUCGUACGAUAAACUAGAACAGGUGCGAUGGGCCGACGCCGAUGUGACAAAAUUUAUAUUCGAUUUUUUAUCAAGCGAAAUUUAAAAUGUAAACAUAGGGUAAAAGUGCCAGUGCUCGACAAGCUAAUGCACAAUCCAAUAGAUGAUAUCCUUGCGUCACAUUUAUUGACAAUGACUUAAGAUUGAAAGUGGUAUCUACUGUUACAUUACAUACAUAGUCGAGCACUAGUACUAUUAGUUUAUGUUCUAAAAUACAUUUGUUGCCUAAAGUUCGCACGAUAGAAAAUAAAAUCUAAUAUCCGACACCUCACCCUAAUGUAUAACACGCAUUUCUUAACGGUACAGUCAGCAGCAAAAGUAACUCAAAUUAACAUUUUAAUAUGAUCACUGAUCAACGCAAAUAAAUCAUACUUAGUGCAGAUUUCCAUGCUUUAUUACUUUUAUUAGUUCUACUUUUGCUGUCGACAUUUUAAGUUAUGGUAAGACAAAUGGUAAGGCCUUUUAACCUUACAUCAUGAGUCAAGUGUAAGUCAAUGACAACAUUGAAAUAGAUUUACGAAUAAUUUUGAGAGUUUUAUUAAUUUCAUAAAUAACUUGUCAGGCUGAUCGUACAAUACAGAAUUACUUGACUUCGUGUAGAAAUGUACAGGAAAAUAAUGCUAUAAGUAAAUCUAACAAUCUCGAAGAUAAAAAUGCAGACAGGUAGGUAAUAAAAUUCAUAAUAAAUCAACGCCAUAAAGCAUAUUGUCAUAAACUUGACAUUCAAAAUGAUACUUUAUAUCGCUGAGUAGCUAGUUGUAAAAAAUCGUAACUUAAAAUACUUAUUGCAUCAAAUCACCGAAGUUCACUUCUUUUAUCCAUGUAUAACUAUCUGGAGCGUAGUACGUAUUGCUUCAAAGAUAUGUGACGGUAAAGUUAACCAAUUGGAACCCUAGGCCACUCUACAACCAUGUCAAAAUGGCAAGCAGUAAGAGAUUUCUUACAAUCUGAUUUAUAACGUCACUAUGACAUAGUUCCACAGUGGCCUAGGGUUCCAAUUGGUUGACUGUACCUCUGUUACUGGACAAGUAUACAUAGACUAGGGCCGGUUGCAUCAAACCGUCUGUCACCGUUAAAGCGUUCGUUAAAUAUUAUUGUAUGGGAAGUUCCAUAGACGUUCUGCUGCGCUGCGUGACGAUGAUGUGUCUGUCAAAUGUGGUUCAUGAAACUGGCCCUUAGCCAUGGAACACUUGCAAUAUCAUAAAUCGCAUGACCAAUCAAUUUAAUAUGUAAUUGAUCGUAUCUUCAUUUUCGCUUGUAAAAGCAUGCAACAGCAUGUUUACAUAGGUACAGUCAACCAAUUGGAACCCUAGGCCACUGUAGAACUAUGUCACAGUAACGUUAUAAGUCAGAUUGUAAGAAAUCUCUUACUCAUGAAGAAUAGAGAUUCUUACCUCUAUUCUCCAUGCUCUUACUGCUUGUCAUUUUGACACGGUUGUAGUGGCCUCUAGGGUUCCAAUUGGUUGACUGUACUUAUGCUGCUUUCAGUCCAGUGUCUUUUAAAAGUUUUUACUUUAAAAUGCAUAAGACUACUAAUAUAAAUUAAGUAAAACAUGCAUGAAAUCUCAUCAUUUUAUUGACAAUAAUACCCUUGACCGCCAGUCAGCCAUAGUCGACGUAGGAUACAGUAUAAAAUUAACCUUAAUACAUAAUAUAGUUCACUAUUGCGUACUAUAAGAUAAAGUAGUUGCGGUAAAAGGUAAAACUUAUCUGACCAUUUCACUAUCAUAUUAAUGUAACAAUAAAAAACCAAGUAGUUUUCUAUGUGUUCUGUUUAUUUACAUACAAAGCUGUUUAAAUAAUUCUACACAUUACGUAUACAUAAAAUGUCUCAAAAAUGUGUUUGUUUACCAAAGCUCUUGAUUUGCUUUUCAUGAGCGGAGUUCAGACAACUUAUAAAAAAGUAUUAGACAUGUUUACACAGGUAUAAAGUUCGUAAGUACUGCCGUUUUCUUCAAGUUUUAAAUUGUUACCUCGAUGUAAACGUACCUUUAUAAUUAUAACAGUCCACCCUUGUUCUUUAAAACAAAAUACAAUUACAUGAUAUCGAUAUUCUGGAAAUACAAUAUUUUUCAAGCUAUUGUUUAUUUAUUGCACAAUAUACACAUUUCGUUACUUUAUAACUAAUCGAAUAAAUCUUAACAUUAUGUAUCUGUCCAGGUAAAAAUGACCAGGCGGGCAAGCACGUUCUUAAGGUGCUUUUUUACCUGCACAUCCACAUAGCCGAAAACGCGAGCAUUUGACAUUCUCUCGCUUGACAUACACGUAGUAUACACAACAAUAAGUAGAAUUUAAGACUAAUAAUUGAUAGCAUAGAAAAAUCUAAAACAUGCGUGUUAUCCUUACAUACUCGUUUCGCCGAUAUGAACCUUAAACGAUUGACAAUCUUGACAUAAAGUGUAUUUUACAGCGAUUAUGUAGUCGCUGUCAGAUAUAUCGGAGCGGCCGGGCCGUUCAAAAAUACCUGAACACCUUGACAAUAGAGGAACACCUC